rnacentral:rRNA from 1 species
UUGAUCCUGGCUCAGGACGAACGCUGGCGGCGUGCCUAACACAUGCAAGUCGAGCGGAGUAUUUAAAGAAGAUUUCUUCGGAAUGAUUCAUUAAAUAUCUCAGCGGCGGACGGGUGAGUAACGCGUGAGAAACCUGCCUUUCACAAAGGGAUAGCCUCGGGAAACUGGGAUUAAUACCAUAUAAAGUUUCAUCUUAGCCUUAAGAAGAAACCAAAGCGUAAAGCGGUGAAAGAUGGUCUCGCGUCCCAUUAGCUAGUUGGUGAGAUAAAAGCCCACCAAGGCGACGAUGGGUAGCCGGCCUGAGAGGGUGAACGGCCACACUGGAACUGAGACACGGUCCAGACUCCUACGGGAGGCAGCAGUGGGGAAUAUUGCACAAUGGAGGAAACUCUGAUGCAGCGACGCCGCGUGAGCGACGAAGGCUUUCGGGUCGUAAAGCUUCUGUUCCUUGGGGACGAUAAUGACGGUACCCAAGGAGAAGCCCGGCUAACUACGUGCCAGCAGCCGCGGUAAUACGUAGGGGGCGAGCGUUGUCCGGAUUUAUUGGGCGUAAAGGGUUCGCAGGCGGCCUUUUAAGUCAGAUGUGAAAUCCCAUGGCUUAACCAUGGUAAGCAUUUGAAACUGGAAGGCUUGAGUUAAGGAGAGGAAAGUGGAAUUCCUAGUGUAGCGGUGAAAUGCGUAGAUAUUAGGAGGAAUACCAGUGGCGAAGGCGACUUUCUGGACUUUAACUGACGCUGAGGAACGAAAGCGUGGGUAGCAAACAGGAUUAGAUACCCUGGGUAGUCCACGCCGUAAACGAUGAGUGCUAGGUGUUGGGGGUCAAACCUCGGUGCCGGAGCUAACGCAUUAAGCACUCCGCCUGGGGAGUACGUACGCAAGUAUGAAACUCAAAGGAAUUGACGGGGACCCGCACAAGCAGCGGAGCAUGUGGGUUUAAUUUCGAAGCAACGCGAAGAACCUUUACCAGGGCUUGACAUGCCUCUGAUCGCAUUUAGAGAAUAAUGCUUUACCUUCGGGUACAGAGGACACAGGUGGGUGCAUGGUUGUCGUCAGCUCGUGUCGUGAGAAUGUUGGGUUAAGUCCCGCAACGAGCGCAACCCUUGUCUUUAGUUGCUAACAGGUGAUGCUGAGCACUCUAGAGAGACUGCCGAUGAUAAAUCGGAGGAAGGUGGGGAUGACGUCAAAUCAUCAUGCCCUUUAUGUCCUGGGCUACACACGUGCUACAAUGGUCGGUACAACGAGGAGCUACCUAGUGAUAGGAUGCAAAUCUCUAAAAGCCGAUCCCAGUUCGGAUUGCAGGCUGCAACUCGCCUGCAUGAAGUCGGAGUUACUAGUAAUCGCGGAUCAGAAUGUCGCGGUGAAUGCGUUCCCGGGUCUUGUACACACCGCCCGUC